rnacentral:rRNA from 1 species
AGCUAAAAACUUAGCCUUACCCUACAAUUAUAUUUACCCUAUUUUACUUACACAAAAUAAAACAUUCUUUAAGCUUAGUAAAGGAGAUAAAAAAGUUUUUUAGAGCUAUAAAAUAAGUACCGCAAGGGAAAAAUGAAAUAAAAAUGAAACAAAAUUCAAGCAUAAUAUAGUAGAGUUUUCCCCUCGUACCUUUUGCAUCAUGAUUCAACUAGUUUAACCACGCAAAAAGAAUUUAAGUUUGACUUCCCGAAACUAAGUGAGCUACUUCAGGGCAGCUAAAUGAGCCAACCCGUCUCUGUUGCAAAAGAGUGGGAUGACCCUUAAGUAGAGGUGAUAAACCUAACGAACUUAGUGAUAGCUGGUUAUUCAGGAAAAGAAUUUUAGUUCAACUUAAAAUUACAUAAAUAAAAUAAAAUAAAAUUUUAAUUUUAAAGCAAUUCAAAUAAGGUACAGCCUAUUUGAAAUAGAAUACAAUCUAAACUAUAGGGUAAAUAUAAAAAAUUAAUGUAAUAAAGUAGGCCUAAAAGCAGCCAACUUUAAAAUAGCGUCAAAGCUUACUUCCAUAAUUUUUUAAUACUAUUAUUUACAAUGAACCCUUUAUUUUUACUGAAUAUUUCUAUAAAGUUAUAGAACCUUUUAUGUUGAAACUAGUAACAAGAAGUUAAACUUCUCCUCAAUAUAAGUAUAAGUCGACUAGGAUAAACCAUCGACAAUUAACGCUUAAAUUAAAUGUAUUAACUCCACAAGAAAAACUUACAUUACCCCACGUUAAUCUUACACCAGAACAUUUAAGGAAAGAUUUAAAAAAAAGGAAGGAACUCGGCAAACAUUAACCCCGCCUGUUUACCAAAAACAUCGCCUUCUGAUAUAUUAUAGAAGGUCCAGCCUGCCCAGUGAAUUAAUUUAACGGCCGCGGUAUCCUAACCGUGCGAAGGUAGCGUAAUCACUUGUUCUUUAAAUGAGGACUAGUAUGAAUGGCACCACGAAGGUUAUACUGUCUCCCUUUUUUGAUCAGUUAAACUAAUCUUCACGUGAAGAAGCGUGAAUAAACAUAUAAGACGAGAAGACCCUAUGGAGCUUAAAAUUACACAACAAUUGUUAAAAAAAUCCUAAAUUUUAUAAAUAAUUUUUUACUAAACACCAUGAUUGCUAAUUUUUGGUUGGGGUGACCGCGGAGUAAAAAUUAACCUCCACAAUGAAAGAAAUCAAUAUUCUAAACUAAGAGCUACAACUCAAAGUAUUAAUAUUUUAACAUUCUUUGAUCCAAUAUUUGAUCAACGAACAAAGUUACCCUAGGGAUAACAGCGCAAUCUACUUUGAGAGCUCCUAUCGACAAGUAGGUUUACGACCUCGAUGUUGGAUCAGGGUAUCCUAGUGGUGCA